ensembl:snRNA U6 U6 spliceosomal RNA
UUGCUUCAGUAGCAUAUAUUCUAAAAACUGGAAUGACACAGAGAAGAUUAGGAGGGCCCCCGGGCCAGGAUGAUAUGCAAAUUUGUGAAGUGUUCAUUUUAAUA